rnacentral:rRNA from 1 species
GGAGGUAUCAGAAGUGCGAAUGCUGACAUAAGUAACGAUAAAGCGGGUGAAAAGCCCGCUCGCCGGAAGACCAAGGGUUCCUGUCCAACGUUAAUCGGGGCAGGGUGAGUCGACCCCUAAGGCGAGGCCGAAAGGCGUAGUCGAUGGGAAACGGGUUAAUAUUCCCGUACUUGGUGUUACUGCGAAGGGGGGACGGAGAAGGCUAUGUUGGCCGGGCGACGGUUGUCCCGGUUUAAGCGUGUAGGUGUGUGUUCCAGGUAAAUCCGGUUCACUUUAACACUGAGGCGUGACGACGAGGCACUACGGUGCUGAAGCAACAAAUGCCCUGCUUCCAGGAAAAGCCUCUAAGCAUCAGGUAACAUCAAAUCGUACCCCAAACCGACACAGGUGGUCAGGUAGAGAAUACCAAGGCGCUUGAGAGAACUCGGGUGAAGGAACUAGGCAAAAUGGUGCCGUAACUUCGGGAGAAGGCACGCUGACACGUAGGUGAAGUGAUUUACUCAUGGAGCUGAAGUCAGUCGAAGAUACCAGCUGGCUGCAACUGUUUAUUAAAAACACAGCACUGUGCAAACACGAAAGUGGACGUAUACGGUGUGACGCCUGCCCGGUGCCGGAAGGUUAAUUGAUGGGGUCAGCGCAAGCGAAGCUCCUGAUCGAAGCCCCGGUAAACGGCGGCCGUAACUAUAACGGUCCUAAGGUAGCGAAAUUCCUUGUCGGGUAAGUUCCGACCUGCACGAAUGGCGUAAUGAUGGCCAGGCUGUCUCCACCCGAGACUCAGUGAAAUUGAACUCGCUGUGAAGAUGCAGUGUACCCGCGGCAAGACGGAAAGACCCCGUGAACCUUUACUAUAGCUUGACACUGAACAUUGAGCCUUGAUGUGUAGGAUAGGUGGGAGGCUUUGAAGUGUGGACGCCAGUCUGCAUGGAGCCGACCUUGAAAUACCACCCUUUAAUGUUUGAUGUUCUAACGUGGACCCGUAAUCCGGGUUGCGGACAGUGUCUGGUGGGUAGUUUGACUGGGGCGGUCUCCUCCUAAAGAGUAACGGAGGAGCACGAAGGUUGGCUAAUCCUGGUCGGACAUCAGGAGGUUAGUGCAAUGGCAUAAGCCAGCUUGACUGCGAGCGUGACGGCGCGAGCAGGUGCGAAAGCAGGUCAUAGUGAUCCGGUGGUUCUGAAUGGAAGGGCCAUCGCUCAACGGAUAAAAGGUACUCCGGGGAUAACAGGCUGAUACCGCCCAAGAGUUCAUAUCGACGGCGGUGUUUGGCACCUCGAUGUCGGCUCAUCACAUCCUGGGGCUGAAGUAGGUCCCAAGGGUAUGGCUGUUCGCCAUUUAAAGUGGUACGCGAGCUGGGUUUAGAACGUCGUGAGACAGUUCGGUCCCUAUCUGCCGUGGGCGCUGGAGAACUGAGGGGGGCUGCUCCUAGUACGAGAGGACCGGAGUGGACGCAUCACUGGUGUUCGGGUUGUCAUGCCAAUGGCACUGCCCGGUAGCUAAAUGCGGAAGAGAUAAGUGCUGAAAGCAUCUAAGCACGAAACUUGCCCCGAGAUGAGUUCUCCCUGAGACUUAGAGUCUCCUGAAGGAACGUUGAAGACGACGACGUUGAUAGGCC